rnacentral:rRNA from 1 species
UAGGGAAUCUUCCACAAUGGACGCAAGUCUGAUGGAGCAACGCCGCGUGAGUGAAGAAGGUUUUCGGACCGUAAAGCUCUGUUGUUGGUGAAGAAGGAUAGAGGUAGUAACUGGCCUUUAUUUGACGGUAAUCAACCAGAAAGUCACGGCUAACUACGUGCCAGCAGCCGCGGUAAUACGUAGGUGGCAAGCGUUGUCCGGAUUUAUUGGGCGUAAAGCGAGCGCAGGCGGAAGAAUAAGUCUGAUGUGAAAGCCCUCGGCUUAACCGAGGAAUUGCAUCGGAAACUGUUUUCUUGAGUGCAGAAGAGGAGAGUAGAACUCCAUGUGUAGCGGUGGAAUGCGUAGAUAUAUGGAAGAAUACCAGUGGCGAAGGCGGCUCUCUGGUCUGCAACUGACGCUGAGGCUCGAAAGCAUGGGUAGCGAACAGGAUUAGAUACCCUGGUAGUCCAUGCCGUAAAACGAUGAGUGCUAAGUGUUGGGAGGCUUCCGCCUCUCAGUGCUGCAGCUAACGCAUUAAGCACUCCGCCUGGGGGAGUACGACCGC